UGCUGACGAGCUUGCUAAUCUGGCCAAGUUUUCUAAACCUUCUAUAUGGGUUGAUUGUCCCCCUAGUAUCAUUUGUCCCUCUUCUGAUUCAAGAUGUAACCUAUUUGAGAAAGAGGUCUUUGCUGUAAUGUUUUUUUUACAAUUGGCGAUAUACCAUCGCGGAUCUCAAAGCACCACACUCCUUUCUCAUCCGGCCAGUCAUCUUCAGUUCUUCGCCUUCAUCAUUUCUGUCACCGUGUUUGAUGCCAACGGCGCACAGGCGCAGAUUCGCCAUUACUCGGCUGCGAUGGCGGCUGUUGGCACGGCAUCCAGGCGAGGGCGAGGUCGACCGUAGGGGAGGCGCCGCCCCACGAGGGGGCCCAGCCCAGGAAGUGGAAGUUCGGGGGUGAUGCCGGCCACAUGGAAGCGUCUGGCGCCCCUUGGGCGCGAGGCAGGGGGAUGUGGUCUCGAAGGCCUAAGGAACGGUUGACGUCGGUCGCCGGCAGGAGGAUAGUUAUUAUCUUAUCGACAAUACUGUGCCUGGGCAGACGAAGAGGAGGCCAGAUGGGUCGACGACGUCGAGUAAGGCAAUGGCAAUGUGUUAAGAGUUACACAAUGAGGUGACCAUAUAUGGCUUAUUUGUCAUUUAUGCGAAUGACCUGGAAAAUUGGGAUAGCUGAAAAUAACCAUAGGAAAUCAGUUAUGCUCUAAUGCUGAUUGAUUUCCUCUAAUGCUGAGCUAUAUUUUUCGGUUGCAAGGAACUCUUACCUGAUGAAAAAUGCUUCCAUGAUAGCAAUUGCUAACUAUUCUAAAGGCUCAGGGUGUUACUCCAAAAAACUCAUUUCGAUUUAUCUUUUUUUUUCAUGAUGAAUUAAGUGGCCUUCUCGACAUGCAGUCAUGCAUUACGUUGAUUAAACCAUGUGAAUGGCCUUGCAUUCUGGACAUGCGAAUUGUCAAUGUUCGGUGAAAAUAUGAAGCUAGCUCCCUCCGUGCUUUUGGUAGAAACAUUGAUGUAUUCUGCACAAUUUUGCAUGUGCAAUGUCAUUUUGUUGAUAAAAGGUCUGGGCUUGCAGCUA